rnacentral:lncRNA from 1 species
AAUGGAACUACAACUCAUCAUGUCUUAACACAAUUUUACAAUAAAAUUACAAUUCAUCAUGUACUGCCACUAAUUUACAAAUUUCAUGCAAAGUGGUGAAUCUUGUCCUGUGAUUGAGUUAACCAAUUAGUUUAUCAGCUUGCAUUCCCAAUGAUAAGUAUCAAUCCUAAAGAAGUCGAUUGAUCUAAGCACCGCAUUCAAUGAACCAACCUAAAAAUGCAAGAAUAUUAUGGCAACUGUUACAAUGAGCUUAGCCCAUUUUUUAUCCUUAUUCCUUCAAGUUUAUCCUUAUUCCUUCAAGGCCUCAGUGAGCAUCUAUAUUCUUUCUUAGUCCAACUUUUGUAUAGUAAUCAAAUGAAUCAAUUCAAAAUUAAUCACAUGAUUUAGAAGAUUUCAUUCAUUAAAAAAAAAAAAGAACAGAUUGACAUGUACAUCUUAUACCAGUUUGCUUAAUUGAAGCACUAUGCCAAAAAGCACGUAUACUCACAUGUAGUACUAUGCACACCUCUUACAAAGAGAAAGCUUCCAAUGGUAGCACCAACACUUCAAAGAAAUGCAACCAAGUUAAUACUUCUACAACGCCCCAUGAUAAUUUAUAGUACGCAUUUUAAUGCCUCAUCAUCUAGAAUACCAAAUACAUAGACUAUCAUUCACUUAUCAAAUAAGCAUGAGUUCCUUUGGCAAAUGUCAUUGUCCAUCCGUUUUCCAAAUAAUGUUAGACUUGAACAUUUACAUUU